rnacentral:pre_miRNA from 1 species
UUGGUACCCCCUCCGUCCAGAAAUACUUGUCUUAGAAAUGGAUGCAUCUAGACGUAUUUUAGUUCUAGAUACAUCUAUUUUUAUCCAUUUCUCCGACAAGUAUUUCCGGACGGAGGGAGUAUUAU